rnacentral:rRNA from 1 species
GAUAGAGAAAGCUUGCUUUUUUCUAGGCGUUCGACCGGCGCACGGGUGAGUAACGCGGUAUCCAACCUGCCCAUCACUUGGGGAUAACCUUGCGAAAGUAAGACUAAUACCCAAUGACGUCUCUAGAAGACAUCUGAAGGAGAUUAAAGAUUUAUCGGUGUACGAUGGGGAUGCGUUCCAUUAGGUAGUAGGCGGGGUAACGGCCCACCUAGCCAACGAUGGAUAGGGGUUCUGAGAGGAAGGUCCCCCACAUUGGAACUGAGACACGGUCCAAACUCCUACGGGAGGCAGCAGUGAGGAAUAUUGGUCAAUGGACGAGAGUCUGAACCAGCCAAGUAGCGUGAAGGAUGAAGGUCCUACGGAUUGUAAACUUCUUUUAUAAGGGAAUAAACCCUCCCACGUGUGGGAGCUUGUAUGUACCUUAUGAAUAAGCAUCGGCUAACUCCGUG